rnacentral:rRNA from 1 species
GACAGAGGCCUCAAGCGUUAGGCGGAAUCACUGGGCUUAAAGCGUGUGUAGGCGGAUUGGUAAGUACCUUGUGAAAUCCCACGGCUUAACCGUGGAACUGCUUGGUAUACUGCUUAUCUUGGGCCACUUAGGGGCUACCGGAACAAACGGUGGAGCGGUGAAAUGCGUAGAUAUCGUUUGGAACGCCAAUGGUGAAAACAGGUAGCUGGGAGUGUGCCGACGCUGAGACACGAAAGCCAGGGGAGCGAACGGG